GAUCUUUCUUGCCUAUCUUAUCUCUCCUGACCGCACAGCCCAAGUCACAGGACUUCACUGCUCUGUCAGCUCGGGACGGGUUGGUCUAAUUCCAAAUGCCAUGGGAAGAGUGUGUACGGGGAGCGAGCUGUAGCUGCCGUGAAUGGAAGUGUUGUCAGCCAUCCGAGAAGCCUGGGAACCCCGAGAAGCCUGGGAACAGGGGAAGCCGAAAGCACCCGUCUCCGCUCAAGCUGUCCUCACUCAGCUGCUCUCCCCACACCUAUUCCCCACCAGUCUCUGGGACAGGGCUGGAUGGGCUCCCAGCGCUGGAAACUGUUCCCCGUGAUGGCUCUUUUAUGGUCUUGGCAAGCACGUACAAUACCAGCAGAGAGCGAAAUCCUGCCUGCAAGGGAAAAUAAAACCCCAAUGUAACUGCA